rnacentral:snoRNA from 16 species
AUGAUCUGUUCUAUAGGCUCAUACCGCUGCAUCCUUUACCAAUAAGGAGGCAAGCACUUCAGUCUGGUUGAUGCAUCCUUUACCAAUGGCUGUAGAGGAUCGUUCCUGUCUAGCUCAGAGG